UGGGGGAGCCCUGAGGAGAAAGUGGGGUCACACGCUAUCGCAGAGCUCUGAUGAGAGACUGUAGGACCCUCCCCGACAUCCUCCUGCCCUCCCCCGAUCCCCUCCUCGUUUUACAGUUCCAGGCUGAAAACUUUGGAAGCCGCAGUGUCCUUUGACGCGUCUUGGGGAGGGAGAAAUGCCGGCCGUGUUUUGCCGUCUCUAGUUACAGGUUGGCAGCUGGAGGGGGGGAUCCCUGGAAGUGGUGACAGGGAUGAGUCAGGGCAGGACAGAAGUGGGGUCACUGGUGCAGGCUUUUCCCUCAGUAGAUCUUGGAGCAUCAUCCAAGGUCAUAUUUAUCCCCAUUUUAUAGAUGCUGAGGAAAGGUGGUUCCUUUUUUCAAGGUCAUACGGCAGGCUAGUGCCGAACAGGUCUCUCCGGUCCGAAUUCAUUUUUAAGUCUGUCAUUCCCUAUAAAGCAAACAAGUGGAGAUUGUUUGAUACGAGAUAGAUGUUGGAGUCGUGCCAGAACUAUAAUUACCCUGUGACAAGGUGUUAGGAUCAGGGAUAUGGUAGGGUUCUCUGAUGCCAGAAAGGCCAGGCAGCCGUGAAGGAGAGAAGUAGAGCUGGGCCAGGCAGUUUAGCCAGCAAUAUAUGAGGGAAAUAAGCAACAAUUGAGGAAGGAGUCUCAAAGUAAAAUCAAAGAUGAAGAAGAACCAUUAUCAUCUAUAGGGCCUAAGAGAAGCAAGUAAAAAAGAUGAGCAGUGGAUAUCUUUUUCUGAUGUUCGCUCAGGAGCGAGGAGGACGUGUAAGCCCAGGCUUCAUUUCUGCAAACCACUGUUUGCCACACGACCAGAAGAGGCAGUGAGCUUUGGCGGCCAUGUUAGAGCUGCCGAAUACGUAUACGUUCUACAAAUGUGCUCUCUAGCAGUGAGUUUCUGUCCAUGCUGGUGUAUCAUGAGAAGUAAAUGGAGCAAGAUCAUGUUCUCAGAAUGAUGAUCAUUACUGGAAAACGGUUAUUUGCUGGUUUCAUGGUUGCAUUGAAAAAGAGCCAAAUUAUCCUAGAUUAAUAAAAAUCAUAGAUAACACAAAGCCUGUAAUACAUCUAAGAGCUGAUUUACAUUUCUGUUUUAACUAUGAACUUUGCUACACAGUGUUUCAAACACUGUAUGUAAACCACUUUGUAAAAGAUUCUGUACAGAUACAGACAUUGGUAUGUGUGUGUCUGACCACCGAGACCCUCUGCUUACAGUGGCAGCGAUCGCACAAAAUCCAUUUUAUAAGCUCACCAAGCUCCUCAAAACUUAUUAGGACUUUACUCACCACUACUCCUGUUGGAAAACUGCAUUCAAAAUCUUAUUUCUCUAGUGAUUAGAAAAUUUAUGCCGAUCAUCAGCGGGGAUUUAUUGAAGUGUGGUUACACUUUAUUUUAUUGUAGCACUAUCAUUGUUAUUUAGUUUCAGACUUACUUUCUGGUCUUGAUCUUUUAACUGUCUGACUGAUUAUAGGAAGAGCAAUAGCAUUAUCUUUCAGCAUUAAUUUUGAAAGAAUAAGAAAUUCAGCUGGUUUAAUCCUCUCUCGUCAGGUAGAUUCUCCAUUUAUCUCCUUUUUGUUCAGAUCCUUCCCUGCUCCUAUUUCUGGUUUGCAUUAAGCUUAUUAAAACAUACUCAUACCCAGUAUACAAAUGAGUAUCUUGCUAAUAUAACAAUUAUAUUAAUGUAAUA